rnacentral:rRNA from 1 species
AGAUUGAACGCUGGCGGCAUGCUUUACACACGCAAGUCGAACGGUAACAGGCCGCAAGGUGCUGACGAGUGGCGAACGGGUGAGUAAUGCAUCGGAACGUGCCCAGUCGUGGGGGAUAACGCAGCGAAAGCUGUGCUAAUACCGCAUACGAUCUAUGGAUGAAAGCGGGGGACCGAAAGGCCUCGCGCGAUUGGAGCGGCCGAUGUCAGAUUAGCUAGUUGGUGGGGUAAAGGCCCACCAAGGCGACGAUCUGUAGCUGGUCUGAGAGGACGACCAGCCACACUGGAACUGAGACACGGUCCAGACUCCUACGGGAGGCAGCAGUGGGGAAUUUUGGACAAGUGGGCGCAGGCCUGAUCCAGCAAUGCCGCGUGCAGGAAGAAGGCCUUCGGUUGUAACGUGUCGUUUUGUACGGAACGUAAACGGUCGUGGUUAAUACCGUCGGACGUAAUGGACGGUACCGUAAGAAGUAAGCGACCGGUACUAACUACGU